rnacentral:rRNA from 1 species
UUAAGGAAAAAAGGGCGUAGAGAGGAUGUCUAGGCACUAGAAGGCGAAGAAGGACGCGACGAACGGCGAAACGCUGCGGGGAGAUGUAAGUGAUCGUAGAUCCGCAGGAAUCCGAAUGGGAGAACCCACUUGGUAGAAGACCAAGUAUCCAGAAAUGGAGGCAAGACCUUCCGAAUUGAAAUAUCUUAGUAGGAAGAGGAAAAGAAAGCAAAAGCGAUUCCGAAAGUAGUGACGAGCGAAAUCGGAGGAACCUAAGUCGGCAACAUGAGAGAAUGAGAAUAAGCGAAUGGUUUUGGGAAAGCCAGGCGAAGAAGGUGAAACCCCUGUAGUUGAAAUUCUGAUUUAAUCUAGCCGGAAGGAGUACGGCGAGACACGAGAAAUCUUGUUGGAAAAUAAUGUGGACCACCACAUAAGGUUAAAUACUAGCUAGUGACCGAUAGUGAACCAGUACCGUGAGGGAAAGAUGAAAAGAACCCCGGAAGGGGAGUGAAAUAGAACCUGAAACUUUAUGCCUACAAGUAGUCAGAGCUCGUUAAGGAGUGAUGGCGUGCCUUUUGUAGAAUGAACCGGCGAGUUACGAUAUCUAGCGAGGUUAAGGGUAAAGGCCCGGAGCCGAAGCGAAAGCGAGUCUUAAUAGGGCGAGAAGUUAGGUGUUGUAGACCCGAAACCCGGUGAGCUAGCCAUGAGCAGGUUGAAGCUGUAGUAAGAUAUAGUGGAGGACCGAACUAUAGUCUGUUGAAAAAGACUUGGAUGACUUGUGGCUAGAGGUGAAAUUCCAAUCGAACCGGGAGAUAGCUGGUUCUCCCCGAAAUAGCUUUAGGGCUAGCGUCGAUCAAGAGUUUUAUGGAGGUAGAGCACUGAAUAGUAGAUGGUCCCACCUCGGGAUACUGAUAUUAAUCAAACUCCGAAUGCUAUAAAACACGAUCGGCAGUCAGACUUGUGGGCGAUAAAGUUCAUGGUCAAAAGGAAAACAGUCCAGACCGCCAGAUAAGGUCCCAAAAUUUGUGCUAAGUGGAGAAGGAAGUAGAGAUGCAUAAACAACUAGGAUGUUGGCUUAGAAGCAGCCAUCAUUAAAAGAGUGCGUAAUAGCUCACUAGUCGAGUGACUCUGCGCCGAAAAUGUACCGGGGCUAAGCACAAUACCGAAGCUGCGGAAUCCUAAGGGAUUGGUAGGGGAGCGUUCCAUGCGAGAAGAAGGUGUACCGUGAGGAGCAUCAGAUUGCAUAGAAGUGAGAAUGCCGGUGUAAGUAACGAGAAGACAGGUGAGAAUCCUGUCCGUCAAAAACCAAAGGUUUCCAGGGGAAGGUUCGUCCGCCCUGGGUAAGUCGGGACCUAAGGCGAGUCCGAAAGGAGUAGCUGAUGGACAUUUGGUGUAUAAUCCAGAACUACUUUAAUGACUGAAGGAGAGACGAAUGAGGCUAGGCGAUACUAGUUAGUGGAUUCCAGUCAAGGUAUCAAGGCGAAGGGUGAGGAAAAUCCCAUCCAUAAGUAGUGAGAUACCGAGGUAAAGUCGUACGAAGUCAAAGUUCCAAGAAAAACUUCUAAAGAUAUGAUUAAAGUACCCGUACCGUAAACCGACACAGGUUGGUAGGAAGAGAAUUCUAAGACGCGCGAGAAAACCCUUGUUAAGGAACUCGGCAAAUUGACCCCGUAAGUUAGCGAGAAGGGGGACUCAUAGAGAUAUGAGUCGCAGAGAAUAGGCCCAAGCAACUGUUUAACAAAAACACAGGUUUAUGCAAAACCGAAAGGUGAAGUAUAUGAGCUGACGCCUGCCCGGUGCCGGAAGGUUAAGAGGAGAGGUUAGGAGUAAUCCGAAGCUUUGAAUUGAAGCCCCGGUAAACGGCGGCCGUAACUAUAACGGUCCUAAGGUAGCGAAAUUCCUUGUCAGGUAAGUUCUGACCCGCACG